rnacentral:rRNA from 1 species
AACCGGAUUAGAUACCCUGGUAGUCCAUGCCGUAAACGAUGUCUACUAGCCGUUGGGGCCUUUGAGGCUUUAGUGGCGCAGCUAACGCGAUAAAUAGACCGCCUGGGGAGUACGGUCGCAAGACUAAAACUCAAAUGAAUUGACGGGGGCCCGCACAAGCGGUGGAGCAUGUGGUUUAAUUCGAUGCAACGCGAAGAACCUUACCUGGCCUUGACAUACUAAGAACUUUCCAGAGAUGGAUUGGUGCCUUCGGGAACUUAGAUACAGGUGCUGCAUGGCUGUCGUCAGCUCGUGUCGUGAGAUGUUGGGUUAAGUCCCGCAACGAGCGCAACCCUUUUCCUUAUUUGCCAGCGGGUCAUGCCGGGAACUUUAAGGAUACUGCCAGUGACAAACUGGUGGAAGGCGGGGACGACGUCAAGUCAUCAUGGCCCUUACGGCCAGGGCUACACACGUGCUACAAUGGUCGGUACAAAGGGUUGCUACCUCGCGAGAGGAUGCUAAUCUCAAAAAGCCGAUCGUAGUCCGGAUCGCAGUCUGCAACUCGACUGCGUGAAGUCGGAAUCGCUAGUAAUCGCGGAUCAGAAUGCCGCGGUGAAUACGUUCCCGGGCCUUGUACACACCGCCCGUCACACCAUGGGAGUUUGUUGCACCAGAAGUAGGUAGUCUAACCGCAAGGAGGACGCUUACCACGGUGUGGCCGAUGACUGGGGUGAAGUCGUAACAAGGUAACCGUA